rnacentral:rRNA from 1 species
UACGAAGGGGGCUAGCGUUGCUCGGAAUCACUGGGCGUAAAGCGCGCGUAGGCGGAUCGUUAAGUCAGGGGUGAAAUCCUGGAGCUCAACUCCAGAACUGCCUUUGAUACUGGCGACCUUGAGUUCGGGAGAGGUGAGUGGAACUGCGAGUGUAGAGGUGAAAUUCGUAGAUAUUCGCAAGAACACCAGUGGCGAAGGCGGCUCACUGGCCCGAUACUGACGCUGAGGUGCGAAAGCGUGGGGAGCAAACAGG